UUGUUUGCUGGUGUAGCACCAUCAAGAUUCACAUGCAAAUGCAAGUGUUGUUGGUCAUAAUAAUGUAAAUGUAAAAAUGAAUUAUAUUUACAAUCUGUGGCUGGCAAUAGGGCCAUUUUGGUGAUGAGAAUCUUGAUGAUGCUGCAUUGGCAAUAGA
rfam:Daucus carota subsp. sativus cultivar DH1 chromosome 5, whole genome shotgun sequence.